AAGUAAGGCAGCAAUUGCCCAGGCAGCAAUGAAGAGGCAGCAAUAGACCAGAGCACCCAUCUUGCAAAGACUUCUUGUUUAGUUGCAUUGUGAAGUGUGUGAUUGGACAGCAACAGAAAGUCUGGGCCGGAUGAAAGGGGAAGGUAUGCAGAGGCAACACACAAGAGAACAACAGGUUUUGCAAGCUGUUUUUAGAUAUAGCCCAAAUGAAAAAAU